rnacentral:rRNA from 1 species
CACGUAGUCACCAAGCGUUGUCCGGAUUUAUUGGGCGUAAAGAGCUCGUAGGCGGUUCGGUAAGUCGGAUGUGAAAUCUUUGGGCUCAACCCAAAGCGUGCACUCGAUACUGCCGUGACUGGAGUUCGGUAGGGGAGCGGGGAAUUCCUAGUGUAGCGGUGAAAUGCGCAGAUAUUAGGAGGAACACCGGUGGCGAAGGCGCCGCUCUGGGCCGAUACUGACGCUGAGGAGCGAAAGCGUGGGUAGCAAACAGG